AUUGAACGCUGGCGGCAGGCCUAACACAUGCAAGUCGAGCGAGCGGCGGACGGGUGAGUAAUGUCUGGGAAACUGCCUGAUGGCGGGGGAUAACUACUGGAAACGGUAGCUAAUACCGCAUACCAUCAGCUUUGCCCAGAUGGGAUUAGCUAGUAGGUGGGGUAACGGCUCACCUAGGCGACGAUCCCUAGCUGGUCUGAGCGGAUGACAAGCCACACUGGAACUGAGACACGGCCCAGACUCCUACGGGAGGCAGCAGUGGGGAAUAUUGCGCAAUGGGCGAAAGCCUGAUGCAGCCAUGCCGCGUGUGUGAAGAAGGCCUUCGGGUUGUAAAGCACUGUCAGCGGGGAGGCGGUACCCGAAGAGGAAGCACCGGCUAACUCCGUGCCAGCAGCCGCGGUAAUAC
rnacentral:rRNA from 1 species